CUAUGACCUGUUGUCUAUCAGUCGUAUCUGUAUGAGUGAGCAGCGUAAGAAUGGCAGAAUGCAGACAGCGCUGAGAUACAAGUUCAAACAAAUCCUCAGAGGGAGCGGAGCGCUAGAUGUUUCUCCAGCUGGAAGGGACGGUACCGUCUAAGUGUCAAACAACAUAUGAAUUAAGAAGAGUGAUGGCCUUUUCGGUGUGCCAGCAUACCUACACACUUCCCAGGACACAUUGCUUCACUGAAUUUCACAGCAGCCCGUGUCUGGACACAUGAUUUACAGAAGAGGAAAUAAUCUCAGUGAAGGGGAAAAAUAUGAAUGAAAGACUGAAGGCACUCUGAGGAGCAUUCUCUAUUCAGGAAGAGUGAAUGGAUUCUAUUUCGAUUGAAAGAAAUUAAAAGGAAUCCACUGA